GCCAGCCAAAACACUAAUGAGUAGCAUUCAAAAGGGUGUUAUGUCCAUUCACAGAAGAGCCCCAAGAUUUUUUGUUCCUGUGGAAGCUGGGGGUCCCCUUUGCCUGAGAAGAUGGCCCCAGCCUUCUGUCAAAGUUUUGUAACAGGUAUUUCAAGCAAUGGAGCAAACAGGGGGAAAUUCCAGUCUCUGACCUGGCUGACAGACACCAAACACUCCUGCCCAGGUGUGUCCCACAGCUUGGAGGGUCUUCAGGCCAGAGGCCACUUACAUCAGUCUCAGAGUAAUGGUGGGUGAAGCCUCAUGCUAAGAGCUUUCUUCUGCUCUUCUACCUCCAUUUCCAGCUGCCUACAGUAUUUCUGAUUGCUUACCCCAGCCAAAGAACAGUGAAAUCCACAUAUACUUCCCCCCAGAGCUGGGAGUUUUUCAGCAGUAAUUAAACAGUCCUCAAAUGAGACCCCUCAGACUGCCAGCAGCUGCACAGCACAGGACAUCAGUGACAGAGAUUUGUUUCUUUGUUUGAUUUUAAUUAUUCUGCUUCACUGCAAAAUCCCUUCCAGUUAUACCAGUACAAAAGCACUGGGUAAACAAAGCUGAUUUUGCUUGUCUGAUGUGCUGAUGCCCCUGGUGGAUUUUGCUGUGGUGGGGAGUUUUGCCAGGAUAGCUGCACCAGCAGGACUGGGUAAGGGCAGGUGGCAGGACUGGAUGUGCAUCAAUUGAUUGGCAGUCAAUGCUCUGCAUCUCUGCUCAGUCACUGCUCAGGAACAUGUUGGGUGAGGGUGUUGCAGCCUCAACCAGUAUCCAGUGUGCUGUGAGCAAUGCAGGCUGACCUCUGCUUGUGCAAGGAAUGUGUGGGGCAGCAUGCCAGGGAAGUGUGUGCAUGUGUUUUGGGCUUGUGCCCACAUUCCCACGCCCCAUCACACCUCGAGGCUGGGGGUUUUUCCUCAGGGCACCCCAAAGUGAGAUAUUUCAACACUCACAGCCCAAGCUCUGUGUAAAACCCAGGUCCCCAAGCAGGCAGGAGCCUCAGCUGGGGCUGUGCCCUGCAGGUCUGAAUGGGCUGCUUGGAGGAAAACCUUUUGCCUGACCAUUUCUGCCACCCUGACUUGCAUUCAAACACUUCAGAGUCAUCUGCUGGGGAGCUGCCAGUGGCCCACUGCUGCUCUUUGGGUCUGGGUCAUGCACAGACACGCAGGGGAAAGAAUUCCUCCCCUCACUUCCUUAUCUCCCCAGGAGGAAUGCAGAGCAGCCUUCAUUCAGUGCACACACACCACGCUGUCUCUAGGAAUAACCUCCUGAAAUUACCUUUUUGGAGCUUGGGAGAGGGGGAUGCUAAAGAGGAGCUGAUGAUUUUGAGGGAGCAUGGAAAUAAUUCACAUUUCUAUCCUUCUUUUUCCUGAAAAAGAUGGUUCUCUUGCUCUCACAACUCUGAAAUAUCCCUUAAAAAAAUGAGGCCCCUUCUCCACAGCACACAAACUGUAUGAUCUUGCAAACCAUUUCAUCCUGCUUGUGAGUGCAGGAACUCUUUGGAAGCCCGGGAUGAAGUUUCCUGUCUCUGCCCUGUGUGCGAGGGGCACACCAGGAGCUGAGCUGUGAUUCCCUCACAACACCUGGGAAUCAGAACUCCCAAAGAACACCACAGCAGGACUCUGUUGGCAGGGUGUGCAAGCCAAUUUGCCGCUUGCCUUCUACACUUUACUUCCCUGUCUGUGGUUGUUUGUCUCUGCUCUGCUCUUGCAGUUUCACUGCUGCUUUGGGCUGGUUCUUCUGCCCUCGGUGGUGUUGACUUUACUGUGGAAAAAUGUGGGGAGGUGCUUGGAGAAGCAAUUAUUUUGUGUAUUGGCUUUAGGCUCCUCAUGUUUUGCUGCCUCCUUAUCUUUCUGUUUCCCAAGAAGUCUUACAGAUAUUUCUUUCUGUGUAUGUUUAAAUGCAUGCACACCUAUAUAUAUGUAAAUAUAUUUAUGUAUAUACACAUGCAUACAUGUGGAUAUAUAUAUAUAUGGUGGGCCAAAGAAACUUGUUGAAUUCCUGCAGUGUCCCUGGAAAUGAGUGUGUAUUCCCUUCACCUAUUCAUUGGGAGGGAUUUUCACACAUAUCUGAAGGAAUUUUACCAGAUAUGGCAGUGUGGCAGUGGUAAGCACAGUCACAGGCACCACACAGCACUGAAGGUGCCUGGAACUCAGUUCAGCCACAGAUAUGGCUCUGAGGCAGCCAGACUCCACUCCUCCUCAGCCUCUUACCUCCCUGGGAAGAGGUGACAGGGCUAAAAAGAGCAUUGUUGAAGCUAUGAAAGACCUCUGGGACAAGGACAUCUUGCCUUUGAGGAGGUGGUUAUUGCCCACUCUGCUGUGAUUUCUGUCCCAGCUGUGGAAGGAGCUUUGGCUGGGAAUGGCAGAGAUGUUGGUGCUGGAGUGAAGCUGGUCUUGCUGUAAAACACACAGCUGCUGUGCCUGAUGUCCUGGCUGGUCAUUUUCACUGAUGGCAGCCACUCAAACCAGCGUUUCCCAUGUGAAUGGAGAGUGUAGUCCCCUCGAGCUGGCAGCAGUGGGUCUGUCUGUGGGGCAGCCCCUGGCCCAGGCUGGCUCCUGGGUGUUCUGCUGAUGGCUGCUGGAGCUGUCCCCUGCUCUCUGAGGAUGCUCCCUGGCCACUGGCGCAGCUCAGGAGGUGGCCAUGGGACCCAGCCAGCUGAUGGCAGGUGGGCACUACCCAAAAGCAUCUCAGGACUGUUUGCCAGUGGCCCUGGGCAGGCAGAUCCCUCCUGCCCAGACCUGCCUCCCGUGCAGGGAGUGCUGCGGGCUGGAGCGCUGCCCGCCGGGUUCAGGGCAGGAGAGCUGUCUGCAGCCUGGGAGAGGCCCCUCUGAUGUGCAUGCCAGCAGCUGCACACAGACACAGACAGCUGGAUGAAAGGUGAAAGGUGUGUAAAAUCCCCCCUGGGGGCUAGGAUUGAAGCUGUGAAACCAAAAGCUUAUGGAAACACUUAAGGCUCCAUCUGGGGUAGCCAUAUUUCCCUCCAGAAGCAGUGGGAGUUGAGAGAUCAUAAGCUCUGACUCUACUGGUGUUUCAUUUUGGAGCAGCCAUGUGCUUUUGAAGUAAAUGUCCUAAUUGUCCUUGCUCUCUGCACACUCCAUGGGCUGGCAGUGCAGUUUUUUGCAGACAAACUGGGCUCAUUCUGGUGGAAAGCAGAUCAGAAGUUCUGCCUGAGCUUGCACCAGAUGUUCUCCAGCUGUGGAAGAGGAUGUGGUGGAUGAAAGCAGCAGCUGGUCCUCUUGGCAGCUGGGAAGGACAUGCAUGUUUAGGGGCUUGCUCCAGGAGAUUCAGCCCAGCUGGAAGUGCCAUCCUCGAGCAGCACACAUGGUGGGUGUAGGAACCCAGAACCAACAGCUUCAGCCAAGGGAUCUCCUCUGUCACACACAAUUCUCUGCUCUUGCAGGCACUGCCCUUGAGCUUCUGUGACCUUGAGCCCUUGGUGAGUAGUGGCCUCAAGUGGGUGUUGAAGUUUGGCCCUUCAGGGACUACAGGUCAUCUCGUUUGUGUCCCACACCUGCAGCUGCAGCAUGGCCUGUGCUGAAGUGUUUGCAGGCUCUGCUCUGCCAGGGUGAGGGUCAAGUGUCCCCCCUUUGUGCUGGGGUCAGCAUGGGCCAUCAGGAGAGCACUGGCUGCUGUUUUACACAGUAGGUGUUUGACAGAAUGGCCAGAAUGGUCUUCUUGCUGAGACCUCCAUCAGAACAGAUGCUGGAUAUUCCCUGGGGUCCCUGUGAUCUGGAAAGCGAUUGCAGCCAUCCUGGGACACCUUGGGAAGGCCCCUGCUGCCUUCUGCAGCUGUAAAAGCACCUCUUCUGGGGAGGAUCAGGGUGUGGGAGGCCCUGGGCUGGCAGCUGGAGGUGUUGUGCUGUAGGGGCAGAGCAGCAGCCGCCUCGCCCGCUGCUGAGCCUCGGCUGUGCUGCACUGGGCUGAGCACUGGGGCAGGGAGCAGCCCCAGGAGCUCUCCCAAGCUCACCACCUCCAGGCUCUGUCCCCCAGGUGCCACUGGCCUGGGCAGGGCAGCAGAAGCUCCAGGUGAGGCUCAGAGCAGGGCCAGUUUCCUGCAGCUGUCAGGGGAGCAGCUGGAACACAAAGCAGCUCUUUCCAGGCUCAGAGCCAAAGUCUCUGCUCCUCCUUGUCAAGCUGGGCAUCAUCCCAACCCACGCUCUUCCUGCAGGAAUCACUGGUGCUGGGAGUGGCCAGGCACCACCUCCAGCAGGAAGGGGCAGAGCCUGCUGCUCUGAUAGGGAUAUCCCUUCCAGCUGGUUGAUAAGGGCCAGGAUGGGAAAAAGCCUCUGGAAAGCAGCAGAGGGUCACUCCUCAAAUCAAGGCAUCUCCCAGCCACACACUAACCUUCCCAAGCACAGCUUGGUGCUUCCAUGAGUUCUGUGUUUUCCUUUUUUCAUGUUGUAAGUUAAUAAAGUUCUUUCCUUUAUUCCUAA